rnacentral:rRNA from 1 species
UACAGAGGAGCCAAGCGUUGUCCGGAUUGACUGGGCGUAAAGCGCACGCAGGCGGAUGCGCGCGUGGGGUGUGAAAUCUGGCCGCUUAACGGCCAGGCGCCAUCCCAUACGGCGCGUCUGGAGUGAUGCAGAGGUCGGUGGAAUUGCCGGUGUAGUGGUGAAAUGCGCAGAUAUCGGGAGGAACACCUAUGGCGAAGGCAGCUCGCUGGGACGUUACUGACGCUGAGACGCGAAAGCGUGGGGAGCAAACAGG